GCCCCGUUAGCUCGUGGUAGAGCUCCUAUAAACGGUGAACGAAAGUGCCUAGCAAUAACUGCAAGGAGAUUGCAGGUUCGAAUCCUGCACGAUCCC